AGCUCACCUAUCCGCGCCCAGGUAACCGAAGAGGUGUCCGCGCGGCCGCGUUCCAGGACACCUCGCCCGGGCAGAACGAAUGCCCGAGACCUGGGACCACGGGGGCGCCCCUCCCGUGCAUUUGUUCUCGCUCCCUCCUUCCCUCUAGGGUGUUCUGCACCCCUUCCUCCGAAGACCAACGGGACCGCCCUCACCCCCAGCGCCUUACCUCAAACAGGGGGCCGAUCUUGUUCUUCUCCAGGAUGAGAAGCUGCAUGACCCAGCACGGAUGAGUCAUCGGGUCAUUAAGAGAGGAUGGUCACAGAGUCCGUUUUCUCCAUUUCUGCCCAAAGUGCCUUUCAGGAUGAAUUCCAAUGAUGAGCACAUACAGAGCAUUCACUGUGUACCAGGAAGAUUGUUCAUCUUGCAGCCUGGGCCUGAAACGUUAUUACAAGAUAUUGAAUAUAGUUCCCUGUGCUACACAAAAGAAAUUUGGCUUUUUGUCUAUUUUUAUAUAUGUUUUUGCUUUCUUAAUUGUUUGUGCCAGGAAAAAAAAAGUUAUUAUAAAGCACAUGUACACAGUUAUAAACAGAUCCUGAAAAUGAUCCUUUAGUUGGUAAGCAGCAUGAUGUGCUAAAAAUGCAAGUAAAAAACGGAAGGGAGUUAAAUGACUUUGCGUAAGUUUGAGACUGUGUGCAUCUGUGUGGAUUCAGGAAACAGGAGACACUUGGCCAGGCCAGAAACAGGCAAAGAUGCAGGGUAGAGAGAAAGAAGAGUUGCAGCUAUAUUGGCUGAAUUUUGGUAAAUAAAUGAGAAUGUGCAUAUACUACUAUUAGUACAAAAGAAUCAGUAAAACCACUUCUUUGUUGCUAUGAUGUGGGACCUGUUUUGACGGUCUGUCUGCAGGGUAGGUGCUGGGCCAAAGGGAAGCCAACUACAUCUGCAGUGCGGGUGGAGCUUUCAUUUUGGAGAGGGACAUUUAGAAGUCCUUUUGGUUUCUUUCUUUCUUGAGGUUUAGAAUUACAACUUUUAAAAUUCUUUCUGAUUACUCACCUUUCGGCACUUAGGCUUAAUGCUGCAAAUACUGUACAACUUGUCCUUCUUUUUCACAAAAGUAAAGCUUCUGACAAUUACCCCUGAUGCUACGUGUCUCCGGGACGUUGAUUUUCACUGGUCUGCGUAUUCCAUUGUAUAAAGAUAGCAUAAUUCAUUUAUCCACUCUCCUGUUCCAAGUUUUUACUAAUGUAAACAAUGUUACAAUAAAAUUCUUG